GAAUGAAAAGAGGCCCCCUUCGGAAACGGAAGUGGCUGUGAUGUCAUGGAGUAGCCGCCUCGGAAGGAAGAGCUGGGAUGGUUGGGUGGUCUAAGUGGAGUGCUGGCUAGGGACUUUAUAUUAGAGGGUAGUGAGGUCUUCAUGGUCCAGCGACACGUCCCGAGAAGUGAGGGGAAAUGGAGCAUCUCCCUGGAAACGCUGGGAUCUUAGAAGGUUUCUGCAUACCCAGGGUGCUUCUACGAAGUUGAGAAACUACUGUGUCAAGUUCAGACUGCGAUGGAUUACACCUCGGGCUUCAAGUCCAGGGAGUGGAGAAAGAAUGAAGAAAGUAUCAAAAUGUGUUUCCCAUGACAGAAGCAGGGCAGUGUGGUGGUGAUUUUGUGAUCUAGGUUGAAGUCCCUGAGCCAUCAUUUAUCAUCAUGUAUGUAAAAGUAACCAGGAAACUAUCUUACAGGGUAAAUGGCACCAAAAACCUGGUGAAGGGUCUGAAGAAAUUGACACAAACACUCAUUUUGAGGAAAGCAGAUAUGUAUGAAAACUCCUGUAAAAGAAGAAAAAUGCAACUAAAAAUUAAGAUUUUUAAAACUUAACAACUAAUUGUGCAAGUAUAAAUCUGAAAUACCAAAAUAAAAUCAAUUUUUGAAACACAAAGUCAAAUCUUUGUACCAAUUUUUUUUCCUAGACUCCUGUGGCCUAGAGCCUGUGAUCACUCAUUGAGCAAAAAGUUUAAAACUUAGUUGGGUUCUUGGCCGGGUGCAGUGGCUCAUGCCUGUAAUCCCAGCACUCUGGGAGGCCAACGUCGGUGGAUCACCUGACGUCAGGAGUUCAAGCCUAGCCUGGCCAACAUGAUUUUUAUCUAGGGGCCCAGAUAAUGUUACUGGGCAACAAAUUUGUGUAUCACCAAGGCAGCUGACAUCAUGAUGCUACAUUCUCCUACAUUCUACACUAAGCCCAGAUACAGAACCAAACACAAGAUCCUUCACAAAAGCAACAAAUAAAGACAAAGGACAUGAAAGCAACUGAGAAUGGCAACAGAUCUUCUUACUCAGCUUCAAACUCCCUGACGCUAGGACUUUAAACUCUUAAUCUUUUUGACCAGUUUAUCACCAGUACCUGUCACUAUGCUUGGAACAUGGUAAGCCACACAGUGCUUGGCAAGUAUCGGAAACUCAAUAAUUAUUUGCUGAUGAAUGAAUGCUAAAUAGAUCAGGUAAGUGAUGUUAGUGGCUUGGACAAGAGUGGUGGCAGUAGAGGCAAAGAAAAGGGGGAAGAUUUGAAAUACAUUUAAGAGGUGGACAUGACAGAAUUUGGUGAUCAAUUUGGGAGAGAAAGAGAGGAACAAGUCAAUAGUUUGGUUUGAGUACUUGGGCAGACAGUGAAAAGGAGUAUAUGGGGUAAGGGCAGACAUGGUAAGUAUAGUGUUAGAUAUGUGGCUUUUGAGCUGUCUUCAAGACAGCCAAAUGAUGUCUCCUUUAGGAUAUUUGGCAGUUGGCUGUGUGGGUCUGGAGUUUAGGAGAAAGAAGAAUGCACCAAAGAUAGAGAUUUGAGAGUUACUAACAGAGUCUGUGAAACCAUAUGGGAGGAAGAGAUUACCUAGGGCUUGGGUAGAGAACAGGAAUGGACAAAGGAAACUGAAAAUAAGCAGCUAAAGAGAUGGGAGGUAAAAAACCAGAAUAUGACAUAGAAAUCAAGGAAAGGGUGUUUUCAAAGACAAGUGGAUGGGUAACAGGGUCAAAUAUUGCCUAGAGAUCAUGCAAUGCAGACUGAAAAGUGUCUACUAGAUUUAGCAAUACAAGGGCCACUGGGACCUUAAUUGUGAGGCUUUAGCCAGAUGAAUGUGAAUAAGGAAUGAGGAGAUUAUGAGAAAAUAGAAUCAGCAAGUUUAAACAUUUCUAUGAAAUUUGUCUGAAGAAAAGACAGCAUGCUUAGUCCCUGGGUGUGGAGUUCAGGAAAAUUUUCUUCAUUAUUAUUACUGUUAUGUUAGGAGAGGCCUGACAUUUUAAAUGCUGAGAGAAUCAUCAGCAAAGGGAUAAGAGAAAGAAAGGAUAAUAGGAUGGGUAGACUUCCUGAGAAGAUUAACAGAGAUGGUAUUUAGAGGAGAGAUGGAGAGAUUGGUUUCGUAUAAGAGGAAGAAAUACCACUUCCAUUGUAACAAGAAGAAAGGAAGAAAGUUAGGUAGGUAUGGAGGACAAUUUAUAGACAUGAUGGCUAUAAUUUGAUAUAGUUUGCAUUCUCUGUGAAAGAAGUAGACAGACUACCUCUGAGGAGACUAAAGAUGGGGUGAAGGUUUAUUAUUAUAAAGAAUAAUAUAUAACAAAUAUAUAGAAACAGAAAGUAGAGUGGUUGUUACUGUGGAGUCCUAAUUAGGGAAAAGGAGUCAGGCUGGCGGGACCAGGGGAAAGCAAAGAGAUAAAACAAAUAAGCUAUAAAUAUGCCUUUCUUCAUGGUUCAGGACAUAUAAACAAAAAAGGAAGCAGUUUUUCUUUAUGGGUCUGUUUUUCUUUAUGCCCAAGGAUAUAUUGUCCAAGACAUAUGGCCCUCCUACUCAGAUAAUGUACGUAACUCACAAACUUACUGCUUACCAACAAACGCCUCAAUUUAUCAAACAUCUCAGCUGACAAAAGAAUGCAAUUUAUGCUCCCAGUGCAUUGGCAUUAUCAAUCAGCCCAAGUUCUAUUCUAUAAAAUCUCCAGCUAACCUUUGUCUCUUUGCAGUCAGCUCCUCUUUUGCAGGCUUCCAGUUGCUUUAUUGCAAUGUCUUGUCUUGUCUUGUCUUGUCUUGUCUUGUCUUUC